UACGUAGGGUGCAAGCGUUAAUCGGAAUUACUGGGCGUAAAGCGUGCGCAGGCGGCUUUGCAAGACAGAUGUGAAAUCCCCGGGCUUAACCUGGGAACUGCAUUUGUGACUGCAUGGCUGGAGUGCGGCAGAGGGGGAUGGAAUUCCGCGUGUAGCAGUGAAAUGCGUAGAUAUGCGGAGGAACACCGAUGGCGAAGGCAAUCCCCUGGGCCUGCACUGACGCUCAUUCACGAAAGCGUGGGGAGCAAACAGG
rnacentral:rRNA from 1 species